rnacentral:rRNA from 2 species
GAACGAGUUCUGAUUAUUGAAAGGUGCUUGCAUCUUGAUUUAAUUUUGAACGAGUGGCGGACGGGUGAGUAACACGUGGGUAACCUGCCCUUAAGUGGGGGAUAACAUUUGGAAACAGAUGCUAAUACCGCAUAAAUCCAAGAACCGCAUGGUUCUUGGCUGAAAGAUGGCGUAAGCUAUCGCUUUUGGAUGGACCCGCGGCGUAUUAGCUAGUUGGUGAGGUAACGGCUCACCAAGGCAAUGAUACGUAGCCGAACUGAGAGGUUGAUCGGCCACAUUGGGACUGAGACACGGCCCAAACUCCUACGGGAGGCAGCAGUAGGGAAUCUUCCACAAUGGACGCAAGUCUGAUGGAGCAACGCCGCGUGAGUGAAGAAGGCUUUCGGGUCGUAAAACUCUGUUGUUGGAGAAGAAUGGUCGGCAGAGUAACUGUUGUCGGCGUGACGGUAUCCAACCAGAAAGCCACGGCUAACUACGUGCCAGCAGCCGCGGUAAUACGUAGGUGGCAAGCGUUAUCCGGAUUUAUUGGGCGUAAAGCGAGCGCAGGCGGUUUUUUAAGUCUGAUGUGAAAGCCCUCGGCUUAACCGAGGAAGUGCAUCGGAAACUGGGAAACUUGAGUGCAGAAGAGGACAGUGGAACUCCAUGUGUAGCGGUGAAAUGCGUAGAUAUAUGGAAGAACACCAGUGGCGAAGGCGGCUGUCUGGUCUGUAACUGACGCUGAGGCUCGAAAGCAUGGGUAGCGAACAGGAUUAGAUACCCUGGUAGUCCAUGCCGUAAACGAUGAAUGCUAGGUGUUGGAGGGUUUCCGCCCUUCAGUGCCGCAGCUAACGCAUUAAGCAUUCCGCCUGGGGAGUACGACCGCAAGGUUGAAACUCAAAGGAAUUGACGGGGGCCCGCACAAGCGGUGGAGCAUGUGGUUUAAUUCGAAGCAACGCGAAGAACCUUACCAGGUCUUGACAUCUUUUGAUCACCUGAGAGAUCAGGUUUCCCCUUCGGGGGCAAAAUGACAGGUGGUGCAUGGUUGUCGUCAGCUCGUGUCGUGAGAUGUUGGGUUAAGUCCCGCAACGAGCGCAACCCUUAUGACUAGUUGCCAGCAUUUAGUUGGGCACUCUAGUAAGACUGCCGGUGACAAACCGGAGGAAGGUGGGGAUGACGUCAAAUCAUCAUGCCCCUUAUGACCUGGGCUACACACGUGCUACAAUGGAUGGUACAACGAGUUGCGAGACCGCGAGGUCAAGCUAAUCUCUUAAAGCCAUUCUCAGUUCGGACUGUAGGCUGCAACUCGCCUACACGAAGUCGGAAUCGCUAGUAAUCGCGGAUCAGCACGCCGCGGUGAAUACGUUCCCGGGCCUUGUACACACCGCCCGUCACACCAUGAGAGUUUGUAACACCCGAAGCCGGUGGCGUAACCCUUUUAGGGAGCGAGCCGUCUAAGGUGGGACAAA